AAUUACUUUUACAGUGACACGUGGGCCCCCAACUGACUAAGAAGAUGUAGGGCUACGAACCCUUACUUUCUAGGAUGCAACUUUGAGAUUAAUUCUCGUCUUAAUCAACUAUCAAAAAAUUGUCCUGAGCCUGAAAAAUGGAUAGGAAGAGAGGUGAGAUUAUGAUUACAUAAUCUCAGUGAGUAAACAAUUACCAUCAAAAGCAUUAAAAGCCGAGUAGAUGGAGACAAUAUAAAAACGUUAUAUCUCAAUAAUGUUCAUAACACAAAAUUCGUUUCAAUCUAUACCAAACAAUUUCUUUUCAUCAAAAUUUCCCGACUUAUGAAUUUCUUAAACUUGGCCCCUGCCAGAAUCAUUCUCACGGGUACCUUCGUCAAGGUAUCCCACUAAGAUCGCCAAGGCUGUUCAAUGACCCAUACCCAUAAACAUAUUUUCACAUCUAACACACAGCCAUUCCUUGGCAUUGGUUGAGUCUCACUCUCACGUGGUGGCCCGAACGUGAGGUGCACUCAAAUCAUAGCUCAGGAGAUACUUCACCUAACAUCUCCCCCCGGAGGUAAGUAUAUAAUUGAGUUAUCGUGCCCCUCUCAUAGGUAUUCCAUGGAAACCCCCACCACUGCAGUGACCGUUUAAUAUACCACCAGACCCAUAAAAAUUCCAGUAACAUAAUGUGGCAAAUAAAAUGUAAUCCACUCUACCGAGACCAAUCAAAAACUAUUCAUAUAUUUCAUGCCAAGCCCAAAAAUUUAGCCAUCAUGCUACCAUAGUGUCAUAAGCCCCAAUUUCAAUAACAUAUAAAAUCAUAAAUUUCAACACAGUCUCCAUAUACUCAAUUUUCCCAAAACAAUAUAUGAUUUCAAAACCAGAAUAAAUUUCAUUUUUAUUAAAAAAACAUUUUAAUUAGAAAACAUAAUAUUUUAUAAUUUAAGCUCACCAUUCAAUAAAAACAUCAAACAAGUAUAAUUACUCUAGAUAUUUAAGACGAUAAAUUGUCCACUCACAGUUCUAGGAGUUGAUAUACUCCUAACCCCAAUCUUCAAGCACAAUCUCUGUAUUUUUACCAGUGUAAUUUGCUCACCACCUAUCCACAAUGUACAAUACAUAAUUCACCACAUUAAUGCUUGACCAUUAUAAAAUCAAUUCAGGCUCGGUGUAUAUGCAUGAUAUGACAUGCAACUUAUCCGACUACAGCUUAAAUGCGGUGUUGACCUAAUUCGGCCUAUUAUCUCCAAUUUAACUCCAAAUCAAUUUUUCUCACUUUCUACACUCCAAUUAUACUUAAAUUACCUUAGUGACUGUGAAUGAGAUUCAAUUUAUCAGUCCCGAUAGCAAAUUACAAAAAUACCCCUAGUGGGUAAAAAUUCUUAUUUUUGCUCCGAAAAUUCCCAUUAGUUUUCUAGGCUCAUAAUUCAUCAUUAUUCAUCAUAAUUCCUCAAAUAAACAUCAAGAUCAUCAGCUAAUAUUCCCCUAGAAAUUCGGCCAAUAAUGGUACACUAAUUUCGUGAUUUUUCCUACUUAAUUUUCUCUCCAUAAUUCAUUAAUUCCUACACCAAAAACUAUUAUUUCUUAAUCAAAUCACCCAGAAUAACAUCCCAUUCUUCCUCUUUAUUCACUUAGAGAAUUCGGCUAUUGAUGGGUUCCAAACCUUUUGUGGUUUUCUUCACUUGUUUUCAUGCUACACAUCAUUAAUCACCUAAAAACACUAACAUACCUAAAAAUCAAACCAAUCCAAGAUCAUUCUCUCUCCAUACCCAUUUUGACCAGCCAUGAAUUCAUCAUGAAAACAUGUAAUUUAACCAUGGAAAUUAAGGAAAAAUGCAUGGGUAAGGUAAAUCACUAGCAAAAUCAAAGAAAUUUUACCUUUGCUUGAUCAAAUCCUUGAAUUCCAACACUUUUUCUUUGAUUUUUCCCACCUAGGGUUUGUUCUUCCUUGGUUUCUCUUCUCUUUUGGUUUGGCUGAUCACU
rnacentral:lncRNA from 1 species